rnacentral:lncRNA from 1 species
CACAACCUCCAAAAAUCAUCGGAUGAGCUUCAUCACCUCCUUCGGUGACGAAUCCGGCGAAACCCACACCGUCCGCCCUUACAAUGCCGCUUUCCAACUCGUCUCCGAUGGGUCGCCGCCCUUGAGGGCACUCGGUCGGUCUUGCGUCUCCUUCGCCGUCAUCUACCACCUCGACGGCUCUGAUAGCUGACCAGAUCGCUGGCGAUCACACCCAAAAAGACAACAGCUCGAAUCUCA